GAUGAAGAACGCAGCGAAAUGCGAUACUUGGUGUGAAUUGCAGAAUCCCGUGAACCAUCGAGUCUUUGAACGCAAGUUGCGCCCGAAGCCAUUAGGCCGAGGGCACGCCUGCCUGGGCGUCACACGUCGUUGCCCCCCCAUCUACUCCUUCGGGAUUGCGGGGGGCGGAUGAUGGCCUCCCGUGCGCCUCGUCGCGCGGUUGGCAUAAAUACCAAGUCCUCGGCGACGCACGCCACGACAAUCGGUGGUUGCGAAACCUCGGUUGCCCGUCGUGUGCGGUCGUCGCGCAUCGAGGGCUCGAAAAAAUUACCGGGCUCCGGCUCGGCUUUCAACGCGACCCCAGGUCAGGCGGGGUUACCCGCUGAAUUUAAGCAUAUCAAUAAGCGGAGGA
rnacentral:misc_RNA from 1 species